GUGUUUGAAGCUUAAUUGGAUUGAGCGUCAGAUUGCGAAUCUGAAGGUAGAAAGUUCAAAUCUUUCCAAACACG
rnacentral:tRNA from 1 species